rnacentral:rRNA from 1 species
GAUGAACGCUAGCUACAGGCCUAACACAUGCAAGUCGAGGGGCAGCAUGGCGGUCGCUUGCGACCGCCGAUGGCGACCGGCGAAUGGGUGAGUAACGCGUAUCCAACCUGCCCCGCGCCCGGGGAUAGCCCUUGGAAAUGAGGAUUAAGACCCGAUAUGUGGCUCCGCCGCAUGGCGGUGCCAUGAAACAGACGCGGGAUGGGGAUGCGUUGGAUUAGCCAGCCGGCAGGGCAGCGGCCUACCGGGGCGACGAUCCAUAGGGGUUCUGAGAGGAAGGUCCCCCCACACUGGCACUGAGACACGGGCCAGACUCCUACGGGAGGCAGCAGUGAGGAAUAUUGGUCAAUGGGCGAGAGCCUGAACCAGCCAAGUAGCGUGCAGGAUGACGGCCCUACGGGUUGUAAACUGCUUUUGCGGGAGAAUAACCGGUGCCACGCGUGGCGCCCUGCAGGUAUCCCGUGAAAUAAGGGACCCGGCUAAAUUCCGUGCCAGCAG